CAGUGCUGACACGUAAGGAUUCAAUGAUGAGGUGGAUCGCUUUGACUUUCUUGUUGUCAUCCUUGAUGGUGGCGACAGAAGCGCGGCCCCAAGGAAAAAUCCCGCCUACAUUUCCUACACCCGGGCCUACAAUCACUCCAACCCCAUGCAACUUCCCGUUCCCACGGUGUCGUCCUCUUGCAACCAUCGAGAGGUUCGAUUCGCACGUGUAAGGAGGACUCCGGAGGGCCCUGCGAGUCUUCAGGAUGGUUUUCCUUGUCGUACACGUCCUUGGACUCUCUUAAGUGAUUUUCUUCAAGGUUUUUUA